rnacentral:tRNA from 1 species
AGCCCAGGAACGCCUUUAGGGUUCUUUUCAAGAUUUGCACUCUUGCGUGAAACACCGCUGGGCUUG